UUCUUGUAUUCGCUGAGUGCAGGCGUGGAAUUUUUUAUAUGUGUUUUUUUUUCGAUUUAAUUUUUUUUCGAACGACGCGCUUGAAAUUGAAUUUAUGGUUCGUUCAACUGACGCCAAGUUAAGCCGAGUGAAGCAAAGAAAAGGAAGCCAAAUUAACGUAUUUCAUUUGUGAAUGUUAAACAAAAGCAAGUAAAAUGGCAUUGAAAAGCGACAGAGGAGAAAAGUGAAAAGCAAAUUUUCUGCUACGCUUGAGAACCGAAACGAAACAGCAACAGCAACAAGAAGAAGAAGAAGAAGCAGCAGCAGAACAAGACAAUUGAGUGAGACGAAGACGAAAGCGAAUAGCUGAAGAGAAGCAGAGAAAAAGAUCAUGCGUGCUUGACGACGACGACGACGACGACGCUGGCAACGCCAACACAUGCAGCAGAGGGGCGGGCAGCGGGCGACACAACAGCAACAGCAACAACAACAAUAAAUAGUGCCAAACACAAUGCAAGAUAGACAACAAGAAAACGAGAAGCAACAACAACAGUAUUUGUAUUUCCACAUAAUUGACAACGAGCGCCUGCAAACGUGCGCACAAGAAGCCACACAAGAGAGAGCCCACGAAAUUAUAUGAAGAAAAUAAGACACAAAACAACAACAAAAUUACCGCUCAGCAUUGCUCAAGCAUAUGUGUGUAUAUGCUUAUGUGUAUGUGUGUGUGUCUGUGUUUUGAAACUACAGCGAAGGCAACAGGCGUCUAACAGUGUUGUGUGCAGCAACCACAAAACUUACCUUCAGCCCGGCUCAGACAAUAAGGAGACGGCAGCAGAAACGAGUGUUGUGUGCAGCAGCUGAAAAAAGUAGUAUUAACGUGAACUUAUGCAAAGGAGGCUCUCAACUGGAAAAAACAGAAGAUGUAGAAAAAAAAAUACAAUUAAACAAUUAAAGCAGUGUUCGGUGAAUGUUUAGUACGUUUUUAAGCUAAUAAGAGUAGAGAACGCAGUUUAAUACACAUGUAUUAACAUAAACGUAUUUAUUAUUUGAAAGAUCAGAAAAGUGCAGCUAAAACAGUGUUGCGUGCAGCAGUAAAAGUAUAAAAACAGAAGCGGAUCAACAGACGAAGCCUUGCGCAAUACAUUUAAUACCUUCCUCAGACACAUACGCACACACGCACAACUAUCAAGAUGAAAAGCUUAUGGCUUUUGGUAGCGUUGCUGAUCGGCACAGCAAUCAGUCAAGAGGAGUUGAUCACAACAACCACGACAGUGGCGUCACCUGGCAGCGCAUCAGGUCGGCCGCCGCCGCCGCGUGUUUUGAUCAACAAGUGUUGCCACCACGGCGAAUAUUUGAAUGGCAGCACUUUGGAGUGCGUCGCUGGCUCGUCGGAGAAGUGGGUGCCGCUGGUCUAUCUGAAGCAGCAGAGUCGCUUCUUUGAGCCAAGAGGCGCCAAGCCACGCUUUAUCAAAUUCCUGCCGAACGUGCGACCGCCCUGCCAGGCGCAGGGUCAGCAGCAGGAGCUGUUUAGUAGCCGGGAUGCGAACGUCGUACUGCUGCCCAAUGGCACGAUGAAGUUGCGUGAACGUGGCCUGUUUAUCGAGCCGUCCAGGUACUGUGUGGAUCAAGGUGUGGCGCUGGUCUGCCUCGACCAGAACAAGGAUCCCCAGCUGUCGGCAACGGCUGAUGGAGAACACGCCUCAGCCACUGACGAUGCACUGAGUCCGGCCAGCUCAACAGCGCCCAUGCUGCGCCUGCGCAAAUGCUGCGGGAAGUGGGGCUACUAUGACAGCGUGGCCAAGACCUGCAGCAUCCAGACGCCCGCAGAGCGCGAUUCGGACAGCGGGCAGCUGAAUCUGCCCCAUCUGCCGCCAGGCAGCUACCAGACCACCUAUGAGCUGCCCGAUUGCAAGGGCAAUGGCAGUGGGUAUGCCAUAGCCGGCGACUGGCACGAGGCAACACUGAACCGGAGCAGCGGCUCCCUUCAGCUUAGCCACACGAAUCUAACGGCUGCUCAGUUUUGCCUGGAGCACACGCAACGAGCAGGCGAGGUGAAGAUCAUUGCCUGCACCCAGCACUUUGCCGACGGCGGGGCAGACGGCAGCUUGCAGAAGGCCGUGCUGGAUGUGGGCAUCAUUAUAUCGAUCAUCUUUCUGGCUGCCACACUGGUGGCCGGGUAUAUGCUGCCAGCGGUGCAUCAUGCACUGCACUGGCGCUGUCAGAUCUAUUACGUGUUCUGCCUGCUGCUGGGCAAGAUUCUGCUGGCCAUCGAGGAGCUGAACACGAGCCUGGAGCCCGGUACAGCUAGCUGUUUGCUCGUCGCCAUCGGCAUGCAGUUCUUCUUCCUGUCCGCCUUCUUUUGGCUGAACACGAUGUGCUUCAAUAUCUGGUGGACAUUCCGAGAUUUUCGACCCAGCUCGCUGGAGCGCAACCAGGAGUCCAUCCGUCUGCGACUGUACUCCGUCUAUGCCUGGGGCUUGCCUCUGCUCAUUUGCGCCAUCGCCGCCUUUGUGGACCAGCUGCCGGAUACGGAGACUUCGAUGUUGAGGCCGGGCUUUGGUCAGCCGUUCUGCUGGUUCGACAACCGCUCGUUGACCAUCUUCGCCUACUUCUAUGGACCAAUCGGAUUGCUGCUGUGCGCCAACAUUGUGCUCUUCAUCUCCACCACGCAUCAGCUGACGUGUGGCCUGUGGAAGCGCGACGAUGUCAAGUCCACGUCGGAGAAAUCGGCUCUGGGUCGCGUGUGUCUGAAGCUUGUGGUAGUGAUGGGUGUCACCUGGAUCUGGGACAUCAUCUCGUGGCUGGUGGGCGGGCCACAUGGUGCCUGGCUCUUGACGGAUCUCAUCAAUGCUCUCCAGGGCGUCUUCAUUUUCAUUGUUGUCGGCUGCCAGCCGCAGGUGUGGACCGCCUGCAAGCGCAUCUGCUGUCCGCGUCUCCGGCACGACAUAACGAAUACCACCAAUGGAGUUCAGCACUCGAGCAGCUCCCAGGGUCUGCCAUCCAUGGCCAAUGGCACCGAAUUCACUCAAAACAUCUCCCUGAACAACACAAUAACAACCACGACACCUGCUAGCCCCACCACAGAGGACGCCCCCACCGCGAUACCAGCGACGAGCUGUCCAAGUACCCAAGCCCCAACAGCAGCAGCAGCAGCAUCAACAGCGAAGAUACCCUUGGAGACCAUUUGCUAAGAAAACUGAGACGAGCGACAAUGCGAAAGUAAACCGAGUCCCACAACAACAACAGCAGCAGCAGCAGCAACAGCAACAGCAACAACAACAAUGACAAUGAAGGCAGCAGCAACAACAACCACCGCAAUCGGGCAGGCUUGCGCAAUAGCAGAUACAACAACAACGACAACACCAGUAAUAACCGCAAUAAGCACAACAUUCAAGCACGCGAGUUACAGGUUGGAGGAUCGCCAAGAAUUUAACAUCUAUUGAUUUCGAGUGGAGCAUGUGGAUUGCGUUGCCAUUAGUGGAACGUGGAUGCUGUGGGAAGUUGUGGAACUUUUAUUGCCUGCCAUUCUAGCUGAAAGCGGAGGCUAUAACUGUAAACACUGGAAACAAUAUUGCUUAUGUGUGUGUGUGCAUGCGUGUGUGUUGUUUUUUAGCGCGCCUUUAAUUAAACAAACAUUGUGAACGGUUAAAUAGUUUACUUUGAUAUGGACACACACACACAGAGAGAGAGACAUAACAAUAACACAAAAGUUCAACGGAAUGCAAACUGAUCAAGGUUAAAUGGCGCAAAGCAACAUAAAAAAUAAUAUAAAUAGAAGCGAAAUGAGAAAAAGCAACAACAAAUAGACAAAAAACAGACAUAAAGAAGCCGAAAGAAGAAAGCGCGUUUAAUUAACCGGACAGACGCGCCAUGCACAGUUAGCUGGUGAGGCUGCCAGACCUGCGCGCAGAGUUGCCAGAUCAGUGUUGUCGCCGUGCUGCAGUUGAACGACUUGCAAAUGCCCUUACCCCGCCCCCAUUAACAAAAUGUAUUUUUUUUUUACAUUUACAAAAAUCGCAGAAACUAAAAAAAAGUACAAUUAUUCAAACUAUAUUUUUUUUUUAAUAUUUUAAUUUAUUACUGCGUUAAACGCAUACGAAGAGAGACGAAGAAAAAUCAUUUUAAAUGCGUUUUAAAAACCAACAAAAAAGAAAAACUAAACAAAAACAAAUGUAAACUAAAAUUUAAUAAUUUUUUUUAUAGCUAUUUAAGCACAUUUGUAUUAUGAUAGCUGUAUUCGUAUAGUUUACUUCCAAAGUGUUCAGCCAAAAGUAAUUUCCCCCUCUUUCAGCCCCCACUCCUAAUAACGUGAACGUCCUAUAUUUAAGUACAUAUCAUUUUGUUUAUUUGUUGUUUUUCUUUCGCUCUUUUAAACACUUUUUAAAGCAACUACAACGAAUAUUUUUAAAUUAUCAACUGACUGAGGCAAAGGC